rnacentral:rRNA from 1 species
GACAGAGGGUGCAAACGUUGUUCGGAAUUACUGGGCGUAAAGCGCGUGUAGGCGGCCCUGCAAGUCGGAUGUGAAAUCCCACGGCUCAACCGUGGAAGUGCAUUCGAAACUGCAGGGCUAGAGUCCUGGAGAGGAAGGUGGAAUGCUUGGUGUAGAGGUGAAAUUCGUAGAUAUCAAGCGGAACACCAGUGGCGAAGGCGGCUCACUGGCCCGAUACU